CCUACAAGAACAGAUGUUUAGUUCAAUGAAAUACCCUAUUAUGGGUGUAUUUCAUUCCAGGCUUAAGUAGAGAUAUUUAUUGAUUUUUAUUCCCUUCCCUCUUCACCUUUUACCCAUUCCUUGCUUGAAGAAUCCUAUCUUACCCUUACCAAAUUCUCAUCUCAAAAACACUCAAUCGGCAACCAUUUCUUACUUCCUUCGACUUUGGCAUUCCUCUCCUUCAUCCAAGGUCAGGCCAAAAAGACACCAUCAAUGGAAUCUGUUGAUUCUUCUGGUGAAGAAGACUAAAGGAGUGGUUGAAGGUAGCAACAAGAAGGGGAAAGAUAUCGCGCGUUGAGCAAAUCCCAAACCAUCUAACGCAAAUGCUCAUUUUCUUUAGUUUACGUUCUUCUGUGCGAUUGGAAUGGGUCAGAAGAUUUCUUGUUGACCAUUAAAAAUCAUGGUUGUAUUGAUGAUAUUUUGGUAACUUUUUGUGUUUGUAAUAUUUGGAUAAUAUAAUUACAUGAUAGAAUUUAACAUAUGGAUUAUGACAUAUAAGCUAAUGAAAUCAUGUAAAAUUUUGUUAAUAUAUGAAUAUUAUGUUUGGAUAUGAAAUAUAA